rnacentral:rRNA from 1 species
UACGGAGGGUGCGAGCGUUGUCCGGAAUCACUGGGCGUAAAGGGCGCGUAGGUGGCGCGGGCAGUCAACGGUGAAAGUUCGGGGCUCAACCCUGAAUCGGCCGUCGAUACUCCCGGGCUGGAGCACUGUAGAGGCUAAUGGAAUUCCGGGUGUAGCGGUGGAAUGCGUAGAGAUCCGGAAGAACACCGGUGGCGAAGGCGGUUAGCUGGGCAGUUGCUGGACACUGAGGCGCGACAGCGUGGGGAGCAAACAGG